UACAGAGGGCGCAAGCGUUAAUCGGAAUUACUGGGCGUAAAGCGCGCGUAGGCGGCUGAUUAAGUCGGGUGUGAAAGCCCCGGGCUCAACCUGGGAACUGCAUUCGAUACUGAUCGGCUAGAGUAUGAGAGAGGGAGGUAGAAUUCCACGUGUAGCGGUGAAAUGCGUAGAUAUGUGGAGGAAUACCGGUGGCGAAGGCGGCCUCCUGGUUCAAUACUGACGCUGAGGUGCGAAAGCGUGGGGAGCAAACAGG
rnacentral:rRNA from 1 species